AUUUUUAUUCUUUCUGUAACCCUUGCCUAAAUAUACUACUCUGAGCCAUAAAAUCUGACUUGAGCGUCGGAGGGCCUCUGCCGGGGCACACCCGGUAGGCCCCUGACCAUUCUUUCUUAUUUUACAGGUCCUUUCACCAUGUAAAACAUGGAGAGACCCAUCAGGGAGCCCAGCAAGAAGGGACCCAGAAGAAAACCAGAUCUAUCAUGGACCAGGAAGAGGAAAAUAUUUAUCAAAUGGCGCCGUCUGUGGGAAACGAAGGAGAUCUUUUCAUCACCGGAGUUUUCACUUUCAAAACCCACUGAGAUCCACAAUGGCAAACCACCAAGAAAAUAACCUUAACGUCAUUCCAAAUAAUCUGAGCUCUGCCCAAGAGGGGCAAUGGUUCUUAUUUUCCAGUCCUACAACUCCAAACAACCAACCACCCAUUCCUUUUAACCCCUCGCCGAGCUUGGCCGGGAAUGUGCCCUCCACGAAAGAGAUUUUACUAUCUCAAAAGUUUUCAGAUCCACCCAUUGAGAUCCACAUAAGGUACGAAAGUUUGAGCAGAUAACCCAGCUGAAAAGAANNNNN
rnacentral:lncRNA from 1 species